UGUCAGCACAGUUUGUGAUCUGUCAAUUCAGUGCAUGCAGAUUGUGUAUGGCAGACAAGCAAAAUGUGGUCCUGUCAGCCCAAGACUUCAAAAACAGUCUGAGAUACAGGUCCUUAGGAAGACAAAGGUAGUGAAAGGGUCCAAGACAGGUUAUAAGCAAGCAAGUGAGCUAGGAGAACAUACCCUCUUACUUCUCCUCAGCCAGGCCUCCUCGCAGAGCUGCAUGAAGAGUGUGACACGAAGCUGCUUGGGGAAAAGGGACGGUGCAGAGGAAGACAG